AAGUCGUAACAAGGUUUCCGUAGGUGAACCUGCGGAAGGAUCAUUUUUGAUACGUGGGGGAGUCGUGGUAGUAGGGUUUAGCCCUCCCAUGAUUCUUUCAUUUUUAAUAGCAGCGGCAGAAAUGUCGUUUGUGAACGUGGGAUUGAGUUUUGGUUGUUUUGUGUUGGGUAUUCUCUGACGAUGGGGGAGUGUCGUUCAGUCUUGGGUAACGAGAUUGAAAUUGACGCUUUCUUUGAAUUGGGCUCAAGAAUACUCGACGGUCCCAAGCCUUUGGCUAAAAUUAAAACAACACUUUAGAAUCAGAGUAAUGUACGUGAUUGUUUGUUUCCAAAUGGAAAAACAUUUUGUAACAACUUUCAGCAAUGGAUCUCUUGGCUCUC
rnacentral:misc_RNA from 1 species